rnacentral:piRNA from 1 species
UAGAAACAGACUUAGAGACCAGUCAUGGCAA